AACCUCCGCAAUGUGAGAAAUCGCGACGGGGGGAUCCCAAGUGCCAUUCUUAACGGGAUGGCUUUUCAUUAGUGUAAAGAGCUUUUGGAAUAAGAGCUGGGCAAGACCGGUGCCAGCCGCCGCGGUAACACCGGCAGCUCUAGUGGUAGCAGUUUUUAUUGGGCCUAAAGCGUCCGUAGCCGGUUUAAUAAGUCUCUGGUGAAAUCCUGUAGCUUAACUGUGGGAAUUGCUGGAGAUACUAUUAGACUCGAGAUCGGGAGAGGUUAGAGGUACUCCCAGGGUAGAGGUGAAAUUCUGUAAUCCUGGGAGGACCGCCUGUUGCGAAGGCUUCUAACUGGAACGAUUCUGACGGUGAGGGACGAAAGUUAGAGGCGCGAACCGGAUUAGAUACCCGGGUAGUCCUAACUGUAAACGAUGCGGACUUGGUGUUGGGGUGGCUUUGAGCUACUCCAGUGCCGAAGGGAAGCUGUUAAGUCCGCCGCCUGGGAAGUACGGUCGCAAGACUGAAACUUAAAGGAAUU
rnacentral:rRNA from 1 species